GCAUAUGUCCAAAGAGCAAAUUUACACAGUCUACGUGCAUGCUCUGCCUUCCUGGCAGGGCGGCCAUCACCUUCCCGAUCCAAGAUGAAAAGGAGAGAGAAAUCCAACGGAGGUAAAACCAAAAAAAAAAAUCGAAAGCAAAAUACCUUGUUCGUUUACAAUAUAUGUACAACUGCUAGCUUGGCGAAGUAUAGUAAACUACCGCGCGAACAGAACAGAACAAACCAUGCAUGCAUGCGCGGCGCGGAGGUACGGUGGCACAGCACGCAUGGAUCUCCCUGGGCCCUGGGCUGGCUAGUAGUUCUCCGGUAUGAUGGAGAGCCGCGGGCUCCACGCGCCUCGGCACGGGCUCAUCGUGACGCCGCCGCCGUCGAGUUCGAUGCUGCUGCCGACCUCCGCCUCCACCCCGGCGCCGCGCUGCCGCUCCAGCCUCGCCACCAGCUGCGCGAUGUCCUUCCUCUUCAUCACGAUCCUCACCAGCACCCCGCCGUCCUCGCCGUGGCCGGCGGCGGCCGGCGCCUCCACGCGGCACUCGGGCCACGCCUCCCGCUCCCGCUCCCAGCCGCUGUCGCCGUCGCCGUCCUCCGGCGCGUCCACGACCGGCACCACGUGUCUGGGCCGUGCAGCUCUGACGACGACGCUCCUGCCGCUGCUGCUGUCAGCAGGCCUCCGCUGCUUCCUGAUCCUCUUCCUGAUCUUGGCGCCUGCUCCGACCUCGUUGACCACGCCGUCGCAGCAGUGGCAAACGCAUGGCAGCAGAAGGCUGUUGCCCAUGUCUCG
rnacentral:misc_RNA from 1 species